rnacentral:rRNA from 1 species
UGCGCAGGCGGUGAGUUAAGUCUGCUGUGAAAGCCCCGGGCUCAACCUGGGAACGGCAGUGGAAACUGGCUCGCUGGAGUGUGGCAGAGGGGGGUGGAAUUCCGCGUGUAGCAGUGAAAUGCGUAGAGAUGCGGAGGAACACCGAUGGCGAAGGCAGCCCCCUGGGCCAACACUGACGCUCAGGCACGAAAGCGUGGGGAGCAAACAGGAUUAGAUACCCUGGUAGUCCACGCCCUAAACGAUGUCAACUGGGUGUUGGGGAAGCGAUUCCUUGGUACCGUAGCUAACGCGUGAAGUUGACCGCCUGGGGAGUACGGCCGCAAGGUUAAA